rnacentral:rRNA from 1 species
UACGUAGGGGGCAAGCGUUGUCCGGAAUCAUUGGGCGUAAAGAGCGUGUAGGCGGUCCGGUAAGUCGGCUGUGAAAGUCCAGGGCUCAACCCUGGGAUGCCGGUCGAUACUGCCGGACUAGAGUUCGGAAGAGGCGAGUGGAAUUCCCGGUGUAGCGGUGAAAUGCGCAGAUAUCGGGAGGAGGGGGUGGGGGGGAGGCAGCUCGCUGGGACUGGGCUGACGGUGAGACGCGAGAGCGUGGGGAGCAAACAGG